UCUGCCUCGCCUCCAAUGGCGUCGGCGUGCCCCCGCCCCAUCUUCCUCUCCUUCCCCAAAUCCCCGUCCCCGCCGCUCGCCGUCCCCGGAAAGCACCACCCGUCCGCCACCGCCACCGCCUCCCUCUCCCUCUCCACCCGCGCGCGCGCCGCCCCUUCCAGCGCUCCGUCCCCUUCGCCGCCGCCGUCUCCUCCCGCGGACGGAGUCGGCCCCGCGGCGCCGACGCGGGGCGACGUGUACCUGGGGCGGCAGCUCGCGGCCGCGGCCACGGCGGGCGCCCGCGCGCGCGCGCCGGAGGAGGACGCCGAGAGGCGCCGCCGCCGCAAGGAGAAGCGGAAGGCGCUGGCCAAGAAGACGCCCUCCGGCGUCGCCUGCUGCUACGGCUGCGGCGCCCCGCUGCACACCGGCGAGGAGGGCUCCCCCGGCCACGUCGAGCCCGCCACCUACGACCUGAAGAAGAGGCACAACCAACUAAAAACCGUGCUAUGCGGGCGGUGCAAGCUGCUGUCGCACGGGCACAUGGUGACCGCCGUCGGCGGCCAUGGCGGUUAUCCGGGGGGCAAGCAGUUUGUUUCGGCCGAAGAGCUAAGGGAGAAGCUGUCGUACCUCCGCCACGAGAAAGCAUUGAUAGUGAAACUCGUUGACAUAGUUGACUUCAAUGGAAGUUUCCUGGCACGCAUACGCGAUUUUGCCGGCGCCAAUCCCAUUGUGCUUGUGAUAACAAAGGUUGAUCUCCUUCCUAGAGACACAGAUUUGAAUUGUAUCGGCGAUUGGGUCGUGGAGUCUGUUGUUAGGAAGAAACUCAAUGUCCUUAGCGUCCAUUUGACAAGUUCAAAGUCAUUGGUCGGCAUCACUGGUGUUAUAUCAGAGAUUCAGCAGGAAAAGAAGGCCCGAGAUGUAUAUAUACUGGGUUCAGCAAAUGUUGGGAAAUCUGCAUUUAUUAGUGCUAUGCUAAAAACAAUGGCAUAUAAAGAUCCAGUGGCAGCUGCAGCUCAAAAAUACAAGCCAAUACAAUCUGCUGUUCCUGGAACAACCUUAGGUCCUAUUCAGAUCGAAGCAUUUUUAGGAGGAGGGAAAUUAUACGACACACCUGGAGUCCAUCUUCACCAUAGACAGGCAGCAGUUAUCCACGCUGAUGAUCUGCCUUCUCUUGCACCACAAAGUCGACUAAAGGGGCGAUGUUUUCCUGCUAAUGAUACAGAUGUUGGAUUGAGCGGGAAUACGUUGUUCUGGGGGGGACUUGUCCGUAUCGAUGUUGUUAAGGCUCUUCCACGCACACGGCUAACAUUCUAUGGACCAAAGAAGCUAGGUAUUAAUAUGGUCCCCACCACAGAAGCAGAUGAAUUUUACAAGAGAGAAGUCGGAGUUACAUUGACUCCCCCAACUGGUCAGGAGAGAGCUGAAGGAUGGUGUGGGCUUCAGGGUGUUCGCGAAUUGCAGAUAAAAUAUGAAGAGCUUGAUAGGCCUGCUAGUGACAUUGCGAUAUCUGGACUCGGGUGGAUCGCGGUUGAACCACUUGGUGUGCCAUCUAGCGACCCUGAUAGUAGCAUCGAGGAAGAAAAUGGUGGCAGUGGCGAGUUGCAUUUAAGAGUACGUGUACCCAAACCAGUCGAGGUCUUCGUCCGCGCCCCACUGCCAGUCGGUAAAGCGGCGUCGCAGUGGUACCGGUACCAGGAGCUGACGGAGGUAGAAGAGGAGCUGAGACCCAAGUGGCAUUACUGAUGCUGCGGUUGCCAAAUGCCUAUUUUUGGUCUUUUGUGUAUGCUGCUGGAGCAGCUCUGCGUGAUCCAGUCACGCCCCCGACAUUAUGUUUCUUGGAUGAUCUGAUAGGGAUGGAUUCAUAGUUCUAGCUUAGGAUCAGCUGAUGAGAAUGAUUCAGGAAACCUCCAAUGAAAUGUUGGAGCCCAUCCCACCUUUUUUUGGCUUCUCGUGGAGCUGAUAAUGGCGUGGUUGCGGUCCGGCAGUCCCAAGUGGUGUUGUCCCCGGCGGCGGCCGGAAUGUAUCCCGGCGAAAGCUGCAUUUUCGACCUGAUUGCUUUCUUAGAUCUCGGUCAGGGGUCCUUCCUGCAAUUUACAAGGACUAUGUUGUGAUUUCCUCUCUUUUGAGUCCUCUUAUGAGCUAUAUACUGGCACCACUGUAUGUUUAAUGCAAGCUCUCUAGGUCCUUCGGACCCAUCUUUUGUUAAA